rnacentral:rRNA from 1 species
UACAGAGGUCCCAAGCGUUGUUCGGAUUCAUUGGGCGUAAAGAGCUCGUAGGCGGCUUGUUGCGUCGGCUGUGAAAACCCAUGGCUCAACCGUGGGCUUGCAGCCGAUACGGGCAGGCUGGAGUUCGGUAGGGGAGACUGGAAUUCCUGGUGUAGCGGUGAAAUGCGCAGAUAUCAGGAGGAACACCGGUGGCGAAGGCGGCAUCCUGGACCAUUACUGACGCUGAGGCGCGAAAGCUAGGGGAGCAAACGGG